rnacentral:tRNA from 1 species
UCCCUGGUGGCUCAGAUGGUAAAGAAUCUGCCUGCGAUGCAGGAGACCUGGGUUUGAUCCCUGGGUCAGGGAA